UUCUGGUGUAGCGGUGAAAUGCGUAGAUAUCAGAAGGAACAUCGAUGGCGAAGGCAGCUUUCUGGACCAAUACUGACGCUGAGGUACGAAAGCGUGGGUAGCAAACAGGAUUAGAUACCCUGGUAGUCCACGCCGUAAACGAUGAUAACUAGCCGUUGGGAGGGUUUACCUCUUAGUGGCGAAGCUAACGCGUUAAGUUAUCCGCCUGGGGAGUACGGCCGCAAGGCUAAAACUCAAAGGAAUUGACGGGGACCCGCACAAGCGGUGGAGCAUGUGGUUUAAUUCGAUGCAACGCGAAGAACCUUACCUGGUCUUGACAUACAGAGAACUUUCCAGAGAUGGAUUGGUGCCUUCGGGAACUCUGAUACAGGUGCUGCAUGGCUGUCGUCAGCUCGUGUCGUGAGAUGUUGGGUUAAGUCCCGUAACGAGCGCAACCCUUAUCCUUAUUUGCCAGCACUUCGGGUGGGAACUAUAAGGAGACUGCCGGUGAUAAACCGGAGGAAGGCGGGGACGACGUCAAGUCAUCAUGGCCCUUACGACCAGGGCUACACACGUGCUACAAUGGGAAGGACAAAGGGUCGCUAAGCCGCGAGGUGGUGCUAAUCUCAUAAACCUUUUCGUAGUCCGGAUCGGAGUCUGCAACUCGACUCCGUGAAGUCGGAAUCGCUAGUAAUCGUGGAUCAGAACGCCACGGUGAAUACGUUCCCGGGUCUUGUACACACCGCCCGUCAUACCAUGGGAGUGGGUUGCACCAGAAGUGGGUAGUCUAACUUAGGAGGACGCUCACCACGGUGUGAUUCAUGA
rnacentral:rRNA from 1 species